CUAGACUUCAUGGAAGACACUGACUUUUUCUAACUAAUUACCUCUGCCAGUCAAGAUUUGCAGUACGAGUUCAAGAACAAGGCAUUCAUUUAACAACAAUAACAAAAACAGUGAGGAUGAAAACUGGCCGGCCAUCGUAAUGAAAGGCCUGAAAGCAAACUGUGACUUCCCUAAUAAGGCGACGACCAAAGUUGGCUCCCUGGCGGGCGAGCACCAAUACAAUUAAUCAGUCUGUUUUCAGUUUUCUCACGACAGCAAUAUUAACAGUUUGCUUUAUUCUGUUUAUAUGGUGCUGACAAGUCUUCAGCAUGUUGGGCCUACUUGCUGGAGAUUAAUGGCUACUCCUCUACCGAGGUAAAAACCAGGCAAGGAGAGAAUGCCUUUUACGACCAGAUAAGAGCUGGAUUUUUCUUUGCUCUUUUAAUUUCUAUCAAGGAUGUGUAAAAUCAGUAGGGCCCAGAGGUUCUCCUCACUGUUUAAACUCUCCCACUCUUGUAUCCCCAGGGGACACAAAAGGAACCUUGGAUAUUGCUUUCCGGGAAGCUUCUCAUCUCUAAAGGAACUGCCAGCUAAUUAUUCGAAAAAGUCAGAUUCCAUAGAAAAGUGAACGAUAGGAACUGAAAGUGGGAAAAGUGGGAAACACCACAGAAGGGAUCCAUGGAGAGACACUGCCACCAUCAUUCUCUCAAGUUAACCUACAGAAACUCAACUGGUAAAAGUAUCCUUGGCAUUGAAAGGAAUGCAUUAAUUCUGUAUCCUGAUUACCUGGAUCUACACACGUGAUAUAAUGACACAGAACUACACAGACCCAGUAUACACCAAGGUCAGCUUUCUGGGUGUUUUUUUUAAUAUACUUUAAUUAUUUAAGAUGUAACCAAUGGGGAAAACUAGGUGAAAGGGAUACAGGACCACUGUGUACUAUCUAUGCACUAACUAUCUGUGACUCUAUAAUUAUUUCCAGAAAAAGGUAAAAA